UCGGGAAUUUUGCGCACUGGGCGAAAGCCUGACGCAGCAACCCCGCGUGAGGGAUGACGGCCUUCGGGUUGUAAACCUCUUUUAUCAGGGAAGAUAAUGACGGUACCUGAUGAAUAAGUCACGGCUAACUACGUGCCAGCAGCCGCGGUAAUACGUAGGUGACAAGCGUUGUCCGGAUUUACUGGGCGUAAAGAGCGCGCAGGCGGUCGUUCAAGUCGA
rnacentral:rRNA from 1 species